GACGAACGCUGGCGGCGCGCUUAACACAUGCAAGUCGAGCGAGAACCAGGGCUUCGGCCCUGGGGACAGCGGCGAACGGGUGAGUAACACGUGGGUAAUCUGCCCUCGGCACCGGAAUAGCCCGGGGAAACCCGGAUUAAUGCCGGAUGGCCCCUUCACCUCGCGAGGUGUCGGGAAAAGGUAGCUUCGGCCUCUGGCCGAGGAUGAGCCCGCGGCGGAUUAGCUUGUUGGCGGGGUAACGGCCCACCAAGGCGACGAUCCGUAGCUGGUCUGAGAGGACGAUCAGCCACACUGGGACCGAGACACGGCCCAGACUCCUACGGGAGGCAGCAGUGGGGAAUCUUGCGCAAUGGGCGAAAGCCUGACGCAGCGACGCCGCGUGAGGGAAGAAGGCCUUCGGGUUGUAAGCCUCUUUCAGGAGGGACGAAGCUACUCGGGUGAAUAGCCCAGAGGGUGACGGUACCUCCAGAAGAAGCCCCGGCUAACUACGUGCCAGCCGCCGCUGUAA
rnacentral:rRNA from 1 species